rnacentral:rRNA from 1 species
UGAAUACGAGAUGCUACGGCGUCGAAGCAGUGUAUGUCAGACUUCCAAGAAAAGCUCGCAAUGUCAUAAAUAAAGAAUGCCUGUACCAUAACCGACACAGGUGGGUAGGUAGAGUAUACUAAGGGGCGCGAGAUAACUCUCUCUAAGGAACUCGGCAAAAUAACUCCGUAACUUCGGGAGAAGGAGUGCCUUCUUUAAGAAGGUUGCAAUAACAAGAUCCAAGCAACUGUUUAUCAAAAACACAGGUCUCCGCUAAGUCGUAAGACGAUGUAUGGGGGCUGACGCCUGCCCAGUGCCAGAAGGUUAAAGAAGUUGGUUAGCUUUUGCGAAGCUGAUGACUGAAGCCCUGGUGAACGGCGGCCGUAACAAUAACGGUCCUAAGGUAGCGAAAUUCCUUGUCGGGUAAGUUCCGACCCGCACGAAAGGCGUAAUGAUUUGGAUACUGUCUCGGAGAGGGACUCGGUGAAAUAGACUUGUCUGUGAAGAUGCGGACUACCUGCACCAGGACAGAAAGACCCUAUGAAGCUUUACUGUAACUUGAAAUUGAAAUUGGACUUUAUUUGCGCAGUAUAGGUGGAAGGCGUUGAAAGUAAUCUUGCGGGAUUAGUGGAGCCAUCAGUGAGAUACCACUCCUAUAAUGUUAGAUUUCUAACUUUGGAUCAUGAUCUGGUCAAAGAACAGUUUCAGGCGGGCAGUUUGACUGGGGCGGUCGCCUCCCAAAUGGUAACGGAGGCGUACAAAGGUUUCCUCUGAACGGGUAGAAAUCGUAUCUAGAGUGUAAAGGCAUAAGGAAGCUUGACUGUGAGACCUACAAGUCGAGCAGGGACGAAAGUCGGUCUUAGUGAUCUGACGGUGCUGAGUGGAAAGGCCGUCACUCAACGGAUAAAAGUUACUCUAAGGAUAACAGGCUGAUCUCCCCCAAGAGUUCACAUCGACGGGGAGGUUUGGCACCUCGAUGUCGGCUCAUCGCAUCCUGGGGCGGUAGUACGUCCCAAGGGUUGGGCUGUUCGCCCAUGAAAGCGGUACGCGAGCUGGGUUCAGAACGUCGUGAGACAGUUCGGUCCAUAUCCGGUGUAGGCGUUAGAAUAUUGAGAGGAGCCUUCUUUAGUACGAGAGGACCGAGAAGGACAUACCUCUGGUGUACCAGUUAUCGUGCCAACGGUAAACGCUGGGUAGCUAUGUAUGGAGAGGAUAACCGCUGAAAGCAUCUAAGUGGGAAGCCCACCUCAAGAUGAGUAUUCAC